UAGCUAAGGAUAGCGGAGUUAGCCCCUUA
rnacentral:sRNA from 1 species